UACGGAGGAUCCAAGCGUUAUCCGGAAUCAUUGGGUUUAAAGGGUCCGUAGGCGGCCCUGUAAGUCAGUGGUGAAAUCUCCCGGCUCAACCGGGAAAUUGCCAUUGAUACUGCAGGGCUUGAAUUACUGGGAAGUAACUAGAAUAUGUAGUGUAGCGGUGAAAUGCUUAGAGAUUACAUGGAAUACCAAUUGCGAAGGCAGGUUACUACCAGUGGAUUGACGCUGAUGGACGAAAGCGUGGGGAGCAAACAGG
rnacentral:rRNA from 1 species